UUCCGGUUGUAUGUUGUGUGGAAUUGUGAGCGGAUAACAAUUUCACACAGGAAACAGCUAUGACCAUGAUUACGCCAAGCUUGGUACCGAGCUCGGAUCCACUAGUAACGGCCGCCAGUGUGCUGGAAUUCGGCUUUGGCUCAGAACGAACGCUGGCGGCAGGCUUAACACAUGCAAGUCGAGCGGGCGUAGCAAUACGUCAGCGGCAGACGGGUGAGUAAACGCGUGGGAACGUACCUUUUGGUUCGGAACAACACAGGGAAACUUGUGCUAAUACCGGAUAAGCCCUUACGGGGAAAGAUUUAUCGCCGAAAGAUCGGCCCGCGUCUGAUUAGCUAGUUGGUAGGGUAAUGGCCUACCAAGGCGACGAUCAGUAGCUGGUCUGAGAGGAUGAUCAGCCACAUUGGGACUGAGACACGGCCCAAACUCCUACGGGAGGCAGCAGUGGG
rnacentral:rRNA from 1 species